rnacentral:rRNA from 1 species
UUUAACUGAGCGUUCAGUUACUUGACGUAGACCCGAAACCGGGCGACCUACCCAUGAGCAGGAUGAAGCGAAAGUAAAAUUUCGUGGAGGUCCGAACCCACGAGCGUUGAAAAGCUCGGGGAUGACUUGUGGGUAGCGGUGAAAUUCCAAUCGAGCCCGGAGAUAGCUGGUUCUCCCCGAAAUAGCUUUAGGGCUAGCCUCAAGGUGAGAGAUACGGAGGUAGAGCACUGAAUGUCCUAGGGGGUAUUGCACCUACCGAAGACUAUCAAACUCCGAAUGCCGUCAUCUUAUACUUGGGAGUCAGACUGUGGGUGAUAAGAUUCAUAGUCGAAAGGGCAACAGCCCAGAUCGUCAGCUAAGGUCCCUAAAUGUAAGUUAAGUGGUAAAGGAUGUGGGAUUGCACAGACAACCAGGAUGUUGGCUUAGAAGCAGCCACUCAUUCAAAGAGUGCGUAAUAGCUCACUGGUCGAGUGAUCCUGCGCCGAAGAUUUCCGGGGCUAAAACUUACUACCGAAGCUACGGCAUCAGUAAUGAUGGGUAGGGGAGCUUCCCAUACGGGUUGAAGCAUGACCGUAAGGACAUGUGGACAGUAUGGGAGUGAGAAUGUUGGCAUGAGUAGCGAGAUGUGGGUG